UUGCAGCAUGCAUAUGGAAUCUAGUUCCCUGACCAUGGAUUGAACCCAGGGCCCUUGCACUGGGAGUGCAGAGUCUUAACCACUGCACCACCAGCGAAGUCCCUAUACCUGUUUCUUCAUCAGUAAAAUGAUGCACUUCCUCUUAGGAAUUGUUAGGAGAUUGAAUUGGAAUAAUAGGGUGGUUUUCCAACCACGUCCUGGAAAGCUCUAAUCAGACAACCUAGUGUUUUCCAAACUUCAUUCACAUCCCAUGUUCCCAACCUUCAGACACUUGUACACCAUCUCUACUAUUUGCUUAAUCUUGUCCUUUAAAAAUAUCAACUUUUAAAAUGGAAAAACAUUUACUCAAGAAGGAAACUUUGUAUCACUACCAUAAACAGGAAGUACCUAUCACUUACCCUAGAAUGGUAAAAAAUAAAUACAACAAAAUCAAAACGAUGGUAUUCAAUUCUCGCUUGCAAUGGUUAUAGGCCAAAGCUCUGAGCUCAAGUCCUGGACUUUGUUUAAAAAAAGAAAUUAUCUCAGUCAUAAAAGGCCACUUAUGGCUGUAUAUGAAAUGUCCAGAAUAGGCAAGUCUACAGAGACAGAAAGUAGGUUAGUGAUAGUCUAGGGCUGGAGGAGAAUGGGGAUGACUGCUAAUGGGUAUGGUUUGAGGGUGAUGAAAAUGUUCUAAAGUUGACUAUGGUGACAGCUGCACAACUCUUUGAAUAUACUUAAAGAACCACUAGAUUGUACACUUUAAAUGGGUGAAUUGUAUGGUAUAUGAAUGAUCUCUCAAUAAAAGUUGUUAGUAAAAAGAGAAAACUGUUAAAUCUUAUUUUUUUUCUCCUUGAGGUAAAUGAAAGGAUGAUGCAAAGAUACCGGAACCAGGACCACUAUUAUUUAACUUAACCAGAUGACAUGGUAGCACUGGAUUGCAUGCUGAACGGCUGCUGCAACCUUCGUGUACUGUUCUACGUUCAGGUCCUGUGCCUCAAAAACUAACAGUGCCUCCUCAAAUAAAGAAAAUCCCCUUGCCAUUUCCUGCAUUGUGAAUCUCUUCGGUUCUUCAGUUAUUUCUUCUUCUUCUUGUCUCUCUUCGUCCUUCCUCUGGGCCUCCAAUUCCAUCAGGUCUUCAUUAGUACAGUACGUGCCUUCAUCAAUAAUUUCUUAAAGUGUUUCAGGAAACUCCCGGGCAGCUACUGUAUCUGCACUCGCUGCCUCACCACUUACUUUUACGUUUGGAAGGUUGGCUCUAGCCUGGAACCGAUGAAACCAGCCAUGGCUGGCAUUAAAAGAUGCACCCUCUGAUUCUUCGUUGUGUUUCUUCUUCGAGUCUUCAUAAAGGGUUUCAGCUUUCUCUUGAAUCAGCAUUAAGCUGAGCGGGACUUGACGCUGAUGCUGAUUCUGCACCCACACUCUGAGAAGUUCCUCCAUCUCCUCCAUCACUUUUCCACGCUUCUUCGAUACUAUUGUCGACAUCUUCGGUACAGCAGACUUCACAUGUUCCAUGAUCUUGUCCUUGUUCUUUCGAAUCAUGCUGAUGGUUGAACGAUUCAUGUUAUAAGAACGAGUGACAUCUAUCAUCUUUUCACCUCGCUCCACUCUCUCAAUUAUUUUCACUUUUGUUUCCAUCAUUAUCGCUUGGCGCUUCUUAGCAGUACCAGCUACAACACCACUGCUUUUACACUUGCUUCCAGACAUCCUGGGCUUGAAAUAAAGAUACUGUACUACUGUACCCUAUACAAUACUGUACAGUAAAGCACACAAAAGCACAACCACUUGUAGAGGAUGCACGCAGGUGACAAUGUACGCCAGACACAUGAACUAACUUACGUGAUUGGACGUGCGAACGCAAUUCGCAUCUUUGAAAGUUCACAACUUGAAGGUUCGUAUGUAGGGGACUUACUGUAUAUGGAAAAGAUAAUACUGGCUUCAUGUUUCAGAUGAGGCAACUAAGGUCUAGACAGGGAAAUGACUUGCCCAAGAUCACACAGUACAAAUCAACUGAAUCUGGAAUACCUCCAUUCCUAUUCUGCAUCCUGACCCUUCACUACACCACAGUUGCAUCCCAGAGCUGACUGGAGGAACAAAGGAGGGGACAGGUAGAAAAGCCAUUGCCAACAGACGAAUAUAAGGGAAUGGAAGUCACUACAGGAGGCCCUGCAACAGAGAUGAACGACGUGGCCUUACUCUAUCAGGGGAAAGUGACACGUCAAGUGAAAGAGGAAGUACGGUGACUAACCUGGAACGUGAGCUAGUUUGAGGAUCAUGGAACCUUCCUGAAGGAGAUUUCUGGGGCACUGAUGCGAGGAGAGGAGAGAAGACCACACCAGGAAGCUGAGGUUUGAAAGGUCCCUGAGAAAAGGCUAUCCAUCUCCCUGGGAUGUACUCAUCCAGGGCUCUGGGCCCCAGGCUUGACAGGCUUGUGCGGGGAAAUAGAAACAGGCAGAGGACUUGGAGGCAUCUGCUCUCCACCCAGCAGAGCGAUCCUAGUCAAAGACACGUCUAUGGCAUCUAACCCAGCGAUAGAAAGGAACAAACUACUGAUCCAAGCAACAAUGUGGAUGACUCUCAAAAACAUUACGCUGAGUGAAA